AAACAUAUACUGGAAGUAACAAAGAGGUAACAAAAUAACAUUUUCUUAUUUGCUUGAUGUAGGACUUUGACAUAAAGGAGCCGGUGAGGUCCUUGCUGUUACCGGAGGUGUAGAUGGUCGAGGAAAAUGUGAAUACAGCCACACUGGUUUAGUUUGGCGAGGAGAAAUAAGAUGAGAAAACAAUCUGCAUCUGCCUGAGGGGUUCUGCUCCUAGUUCUGCUCUUCCGAUUGACAUUGAUGAGCUUCAGCUGGGAACCACACCUGCUCAUCACACUCUGCAGUGGAGGAAGUAAUCACACAUUUCGGAGCCAAUGGAUCCACACCGCAUUUCCAGCAAAGGUUUAUGUUGCUCUCUGUUUUGAAGCAGACUCUCUCUUCCUCUAAAGCUAC